GGAAAGAUAGUGGGGAAGAGAAAGUGGGCAUGUGCAUUCUGCAUUGUAAAUAUCUGGCAACUUCUGGCACUCAGAUAACCCUUGUUUCCUGCCCGCCUGAGUCCCUCAUGUCCAGAGGCUCACCUCUUGAUGAGAGUGAGGUCAGAGUCCUCCAUUCAGAGGGAGUUUGAAAAGUGACAUCAAGAAGAGAAUACAUGGAGAACUGGGAGGAAGUGAAGGCUUUUUCCCUAGCAAUCCAGAGCAAGUAAGUGUGUUUUUCAUCCCAGUUCUCAGAGGAGGCUUACUAAUGGAAAGGUCAGUCAUAUGUAGCUGGAGAGUUUUUCUUUGUUAAGCUUUUUAUUGUUUAAAAUUAUAAAUUAAGAUAUAAUCUCCAAAGAAUUUUAAUCAUAACACAUUUACUGUGUCAACUACUGCUCAAAGAUCUUUACAGUUACCUUAACUGAUUCUCAUGGUAACCUAGUAACUGAAUCCUAAGAUAUCUUCUUUUUACAGACAAAGAAAUUGAAGCAAAUAGAAGUUAAGUGACUUGCUCAUUGUCACACAGGAAGUACAUUUCUGAGACUGCAUUUGAACUUAUGGUUUCCUAACUUCAGGGCCAGUGCUUUAUCCACUAUACCACCUAACUGCUUCUAUGUACCUGGAGUGAGUAUGAACAACGACUGGAAGCGAAGACUCUGUGAGGAAAAUCAUUGGAUAAAUUUAGUCAUUAGGGCAAAACAACACCCAGAAAUUGGAGCAAGCAUUCAAGAACAAAAUAUUAGAGGAUUCAUGAAACCAUGAGAUAUGCCCCAGAAGUGCCAAUCCAAAAUUCUCCAGAUGCCUAGAACACUUUAACCUUAUUCCUCAUCUCUGAAAUGCUACUCUCCUUUGGCAGAUGAUGAAAGAGACUGGCACCUCUGGUCCUGUGAACUUAAAAGGCCAUGAGUUCCUGAGACAAUGCAAAAUUGAUUCCUGGAGGCCAAGAAGUGACUUUUUGGACUCCAUCCCAGAUUUGAAUGAGGCAAGGAAUCAUCUGACAGAAAUAUUACCUUUGGAUGUAACUCUGAGUACAAAUAUUUCAUAGAAACUAAGUUUAAAUGUGACCUACUCUCUCCACUCUCUUCACACAGUGUAUAGCAUAAUAUGCCACUGAGGAAUUGAAUUAUUAUGUUUCUUCAUGCUCUCUCUCUAAAAUUAAUAUACCUGAAAAGUUAUCCAAGGUAAGUGGUUAAAUGGAAAUGGGAUGGUAAUCUGAGACAUCAAAGAUAUGAGAAGAAUAUAACUAGCAUGUCUUUGAGCUGGUAUGAUAACAGUAGAGAAUAUAAGGUCUGAAUUCUUCAGCAUGCCCUAGAAUCUUGGAUAGAAUAUGUAGUGACAUGAUUCAUAGCCAUCUAGAAUAUAAUAGUCAUAAAACAUUUCAAAUAUGAAGUUCCUUCUAUAACAUAAUUUUCCAAAGUUUAUAAAAACUAGUCAAAGUAGCUACUCCAUCCAUGAC
rnacentral:lncRNA from 1 species